GGUGGGAUCGGGGAGGGGAAUAGGAUGGGAGUGGGGAGGGGAAUGGGGUGGGAUAGGGAAUGGGAUGGGAAUGGGGUUGGGAUGGGAUGGGAAUGGAUUGGGAAUGAGGAAUGGGAAUGGGGAUGGGAUCGGGAUAGGAUGGGAAUGGGAUUGGGAUUUGGAUGGGAAUGGGAUUGAGAAUGGGGUGGGAUUGGGAUUGGGAUUGGGAACGGAAAUGGGAUGGGGAAUGGGGAUGGGAUUGGGGUGGGAAUGGGAGUGGGAUGGGAUUGGGAACAGGAAUAGGACGGGAUUGGGGAUGGGAAUGGGGAUGGGAUAGAAACGGGAUUGAGAAUGGGAAUGGGGAUGGGAAUGGGAUUGGGAUUGGGAACAGGAAUGGGAAUGGGAUUGGGGAGGGGAAUGGGAUGGGGAUGGGGAUGGGGAUGAGAUGGGAUGGGAAUGGGAUUGGGAUGGGAUUGGGGUGGGAAUUGGAGUGGGAUGGGAUUGGAAACGAAUGGGAUGGGAACAGGAAUGGGAAUGGGAUUGGGAAGGGGAUGGGAUUGGGAUUGGAGCUGGGAAUGGGAUUGGGAAUGGGGAUGGGAUCUUUUUCCCUCUUUUCCCCCUUUUCCCCUCUUUUUCCCUUUCUUUCCCCUUUUCCCUCCUUUCCUUUUUCCCCCUUUUCCCUCCUUUCCUUUUUCCCCCUUUUCCCUCUCUUUUCCCUUUUCCCUCUUUUUUCCCCCUUUCCCCUCUCCUUUUUCCCCUUUCCCCCCUUUUUUCCUCUCUUUUCCCCCUUUUCCCUCUCUUUUCCCUCUUUUUUCUCUUUUCCCUCUCUUUUCCCUUUCCUUCCCCUUUUCCCUCUUUUCCCCCUUUUCCCUCUUUUUCUUCUCUUCCCCCUUUUCCCUCUUUUUUUGUCUUUUUCCCUCUUUUCCCUCUUUUUCCCCUUUUUCCCCCUUUUCCCUAUUUUUCCCUCUCUUUUCCCUCUUUUCCCUCUCUUUUCCCCCUUUUCCUUCUCUUUCCCCUCUUUUUUCCCCUUUUCUCUCUCUUUUCCCUUUCUUUCCCCUUUUCCCUUUUUUCCUUCUUUUUCCUUUUUUCCCCUUUCCCCUCUUUUUCCCUCUUUUUUCCUCUUUUUCCCUCUUUUUCCCCUGUUUUCCCCCUUUUUUCCUCUCUUUUCCCCCUUUUUCCUCUCUUUUUCCCCCUUUCCCCCCUUUUCCCCUUUUUCCCUCUCUUUCCCCCCUUUUCCCCUUUUUCCCUCUCUUUCUCCCAUUUUCCCCCCUUUUCCCUUUUUCCCUUUCUUUUCCCUCUUUUCCCUCUUUUUCCCCCUUUUCCCUAUUUUUCCCUCUCUUUUCCCUCUUUUCCCUCUUUUUUCCCCCUUUUCCUUCUCUUUUCCCUCUUUUCCCCCUUUUCUCUCUCUUUUCCCUCUUUUCCCUUUUUUCCUCUCUUCCCCCCUUUUUUCCUCUUUUUCCCCCUUUUCCCCUUUUUCCCUCUCUUUCCCCCCUUUUCCCUCUUUUCUCCCAUUUUUCCCCCUUUUCCCCCCUUCUCCCUUUCUUCCUUUCUUUUCCCUCUUUUCCCUCUUUUCCCUCUUUUCCCUCUUUCCCCUCUUUUCCCUCUCUUUCCCCUUUCCCCUCCACCCCCUCACUCUCCCCAAAUCCCCGAAAUUCCCGACCUCUCCUCAAACCCCAUUCCCAGAUCCUCCCUCUUCCUCCCAGCCCCGCCCAUCCCGGAAUCCCCCAGCGGGAAUUCCCAUCCCACCGCUCAUUCCCGGCCUUUUCCUUAUCCCGGGAUCAGCGCCCUGGAGCCGCCCCUGAGCGAUCCCGAGCGCUCCGAGCUCCUGGACACGGCCUUGGGAAGCGUCCUGGGGCUGCCCCCUCUGGAAUCCGCGAGAGGCCGGGAAGAGCCCGGAGCCGAGGAGCUCUUCCAGGCGGCGCUGGCCGCGCUCCGGGAGCUGCUCCGGGCUCUCCUGCGGCGGCGCCUGAACCCCCUGGGCCUCCAGGAGCUCUUUGCCGUGAGUUCCCCGGGAUUCGGGAAUUCGGGGGAUUUUAGGAAUUGUGGGAAUUUUGGGAAUGGGAAUUCUGGGAAUUGUGGGAAUUUUGGGAAUGGGAUUGGGAAUGGGAUGGGAAUUGGGAAUUCUGGGGAUUUUAGGAAUUUUGGGAAUGAAAUGGGAUGGGAAUUCUGGGAAUUUUGGGAGCUCCAGGAGCUCUUUGCCGUGAGUUCCCCGGGAUUCGGGAAUCCUCGGGAAUGGGACGGGAAUUCGGGGGAUUUGGGGAAUUGUGGGAAUUCUGGGAAUGGGAAUGGGAUUGGGAAUUCUGGGAAUUUUGGGGAUUUUGGGAAUGGGAAUUUUGGGAUUGGGAAUUCUGGGGAUUUUAGGAAUUGUGGGAAUUUUGGGAAUGGGAAUGGAAUUGGGAAUUCUGGGAAUUUUGGGGAUUUUGGGGAAUUUUGGGAAUGGGAUUGGGAAUGGGAUGGAAAUUCCGGGAAUUUUGGGAUUGGGAUUGG
rnacentral:lncRNA from 13 species